rnacentral:rRNA from 1 species
UACGUAGGGUCCGAGCGUUGUCCGGAAUUACUGGGCGUAAAGAGCUUGUAGGCGGUUUGUCGCGUCGUUUGUGAAAACCCAGGGCUCAACCCUGGGCCUGCAUUCGAUACGGGCAGACUAGAGUUCGGUAGGGGAGACUGGAAUUCCUGGUGUAGCGGUGAAAUGCGCAGAUAUCAGGAGGAACACCGAUGGCGAAGGCAGGUCUCUGGGCCACUACUGACGCUGAGAAGCGAAAGCGUGGGGAGCGAACAGG